AUUGAACGCUGGCGGCAGGCCUAACACAUGCAAGUCGAACGAGUGGCGGACGGGUGAGUAAUGUAUGUGCAAAUGCUCGAUGGUGGGGGAUAACUACCGGAAACUGGAGCUAAUAACGCAUACCAUCGAAUGGGUCGGGAUGGGUUUAGCUAGGGGGUGGGGUAACGGAGGACCUAGUCGACGAUCCGUAGCUGGUCUGAGAGGAUGACAAGCAACACUGGAACGGAGACACGGUCCAGACUCCUACGGGAGGGAGCAGUGGGGAAUAGUGCACAAUGGGGGGAAGCCUGAUCCAGACAUGCCGCGUGGCGGAAGAAGGGAUUGGGGUUGUAAAGUAAUUUCAGUGAGGAGGCGUUACUCGCAGAAUAAGCACCGGCUAACUCCGUGCCAGCAGCCGCGGUAAUAC
rnacentral:rRNA from 1 species